UACAGGGGGUGCAACCGUUGCUCGGAAUCAUUGGGCGUAAAGCGCACGUAGGCGGUUCGUUAUGUCGGAUGUGAAAGCCCUUGGCUUAACCGAGGAAGUGCAUCCGAAACUGGCGAGCUAGAGUACUAAAGAGGAUCGCGGAAUUCCCGGUGUAGAGGUGAAAUUCGUAGAUAUCUGGAAGAACACCAGUGGCGAAGGCGACUACCUGGUCUGGCAUUGACGCUCAUGUGCGAAAGCGUGGGGAGCAAACAGG
rnacentral:rRNA from 1 species